rnacentral:misc_RNA from 1 species
AAAGUCGUAACAAGGUUUCCGUAGGUGAACCUGCGGAAGGAUCAUUAUUGAAUAAAUCUGACUUGGGUUGUCGCUGGCUCUCCCGAGAGCAUGUGCACGCACUUGUCACCUUUAUCUUUCCACCUGUGCACACACUGUAGUCCUGGAUACCUCUCGCUUGAGAAAGCGGAUGCGGAGAUUGCUUCGAAAGGAGCUUCCUCUGAAUUUCCAGGUCUAUGAUUUUUCUACACACCCCAAACGAAUGUUAUAGAAUGUCAUUACAUUGGGCCUCUGUGCCUAUAUAAAAAUCAAUACAACUUUCAACAACGGAUCUCUUGGCUCUC